AACUUUGUUUCUUUUUAUAGCCACAGAGAAGAUCUGCACGGUUGUCUGCUAAACCUGCUCCUCCAAAGCCAGAGCCCAAGGCUAAGAAGACCCCUGCAAAGAAGGGAGAGAAGGUGCCCAAGGGGAAGAAAGGGAAAGCUGAUACCGGUAAGGAUGCAAAUAAUCCCGCGGAAAAUGGAGACGCCAAAACAGACCAGGCCCAGAAAGCCGAAGGUGCUGGAGAUGCCAAGUGACGUGUGUGCAUUUUUGAUAACUGUGUACUUCUGGUGACUGUACAGUUUGAAAUACUAUUUUUUAUCAAGUUUUAUAAAAGCAGAAUUUUGUUUUACUUUUUUUUUUUUUUUUUUUUUUUUUUUUUUUUUAAG